CUCCUUGCACACACCGCCCGUCGCUUCAUUCGAAGUUGGUUCUUGGCGAGGUAGUGUCUAAUUGGUCACUAUCGAACCUGGGGUCAGCAACGAGGGAGAAGUCGUAAACAAGGUACC
rnacentral:rRNA from 1 species